rnacentral:rRNA from 1 species
UGAGUCCUACGGGGGGCAGCAGUGGGGAAUAUUGCACAAUGGGGGAAACCCUGAUGCAGCGACGCCGCAUGAGUGAAGAAGUAUUUCGGUAUGUAAAGCUCUAUCAGCAGGGAAGAAAAUGACGGUACCUGACUAAGAAGCCCCGGCUAACUACGUGCCAGCAGCCGCGGUAAUACGUAGGGGGCAAGCGUUAUCCGGAUUUACUGGGUGUAAAGGGAGCGUAGGUGGCAUGGUAAGGCAGAAGUGAAAACCCAGGGC